rnacentral:rRNA from 1 species
GAUGAACGCUGGCGGCGUGCCUAAUACAUGCAAGUCGAGCGAACGGACGAGAAGCUUGCUCCUCUGAUGUUAGCGGCGGACGGGUGAGUAACACGUGGAUAACCUACCUAUAAGACUGGGAUAACUUCGGGAAACCGGAGCUAAUACCGGAUGAUAUUUUGAACCGCAUGGUUCAAAAGUGAAAGACGGUUUUGCUGUCACUUAUAGAUGGAUCCGCGCCGCAUUAGCUAGUUGGUAAGGUAACGGCUUACCAAGGCAACGAUGCAUAGCCGACCUGAGAGGGUGAUCGGCCACACUGGAACUGAGACACGGUCCAGACUCCUACGGGAGGCAGCAGUAGGGAAUCUUCCGCAAUGGGCGAAAGCCUGACGGAGCAACGCCGCGUGAGUGAUGAAGGUCUUCGGAUCGUAAAACUCUGUUAUUAGGGAAGAACAUAUGUGUAAGUAACUGUGCACGUCUUGACGGUACCUAAUCAGAAAGCCACGGCUAACUACGUG